rnacentral:lncRNA from 1 species
CCCCAUAAUUGAGGUGUCUGGUCGUACAAGAAGCAGGAGGGCGACAAGGGUUCUUCACCAAACCCUAACUCUCACAAAAAUUGAUCAAUUGAAGGAUCAAAUCAAGUCCAAAACGAAAAUCGAGCAUAGAUUAAUGAUCCCCAUUCUUGACACCUAACGAGCUAGAUGGAAGCUUGUGGAUGAAGCGGGUCAAACGGAGCAAGUACGGAAAGAAAAGCGAGGCAUGGAUGCAAGGUAAGUGAAACUUACACCUUUUAGUAAAAUAAAUGUUCAUUCUAUAAGUUUCAAAUACAUUAAGAAUAAUUUUCAAGAUAUGGUUCCCGACGCGAAAUAAUACGGGUCGGAACUAACAUAAAUGAUAAAAACCAUGUUUAAUGGUAAAAGAGAUAGAACGGUAAAUUAGCCAUGAAAAGCUAAUUAUAAAAAUGGGUUUUUGAACGGCAACUAUAAGUAAGCCUAAUGAAUAAAAGGAGUAAAACGGGUCAAAUAGUAAUGUGGACACCAUUUGACAAAUAUCGACUAAUAAGCACUUGUCGAGUUUUAUGCUUACAGGAUAAAGUAGCUUAUGAAUUAGCGUUGCUAUGAAUUAGCAAAUUUUCGAGACAAGGUAUUAAAACGGGUCAAUGUAUUGAUCUGAGAUAGGUACGUGUAAUUAUGUUAUAGUUAAAAGUGAUUAAAGCAUGGAUAUUGCUUCGUAACAUGAUUGAUUGUUCUAUUGUUGACAAUUGAAUAUUGACAUAUUAAAACACGAGAAUUUAAUAUGUUGGUUGUUAGAAUAAAAGAUUCGAGAAAUUGGUAUGGGCAACACAAACAAAACAGUUAAAAACUUACAUGUGCAGAGGCUACCGUAAGUUACGGUACCACCGUAACUUACGGUUAAGGUCAGAAGGCUACGGUAAAUUACCCCUGUGUUACGGUGGAACCAUAGUUUUCCAGAAGCCACCGUAACUUACGGUGACUACCGUAAGUUACGGUGGAGCCCUAAAAUGAAUAUUGAACUUUGUCUAUUUUCUGAAAUCAAAUCCGUUUUUAAACGUAGUAUUGAUUACGUAAUAUUCCUAAGAAUUUCUAACAUUAAGAUUUGUUAAAAUCUUUAGUUUUGCUCGCGACACGCGAAAGAUCAAGAGGAGUCUGUCGCGUGGCGCGACAGACUAAAUUCCGAAAUUUUAUUUGUUUUUGAUUGUUCGAUAGUAGAACUUGAUUAUACUAAUAUUUAAGAUAUCGAAACUAACUUUUAAGUUGGUUUUGAUCUUAGGUGAAUAUCAAGAGUACCCGGAUGAGGAUCAAGCGACGAAAAGAACCGAACACAUGAAAAAGAAGCUUUCGCACGUUGCAUCGUUGUUAUUUCUAAAUGACGAAUCUAGUUACAUUCUGUUGUAUCAUUUUCACAUUGUAAAAGUUUAAAUAAACCCGUAUUUUCAUAAGUAUAUGUAGUCGUAAUUACUUAUUUCUUUUCGUAAUUUAUACGAAAAGCGCUAAAUAAUAGUACGGGUGUUA